UAGGUGACGAAAUGGCAAAUCUCUCUAAUAGUAUGGGCAUGGGCAUCAUUCUCCGGUAGGUGUUCCAUGAUAAAGCGAUAAAGCAUAAGCGCCGCUGGGGCUUGGUGGAUGGCGGGAUAAAGCACCUCGUAAUCCAUAAUGGUCCUACGGUACUACCGGAACAGUACUACGGUAAAUAUACAUAAUGGUACUAUGGUACGGUACUAUGUAGGAAGCAUGAGCGGAAGCCUCGAGAGGGGGCUGGGGGAGCAUGGGGCCGAUGUAGCUGCGGCCGGACAGACUGCCGCGUUGGCGCGUGGGGCCUACGAACAAGUAGUCACCAUUGACUGGGCAGGUGCAGCCCUGUUAAAGCCAACCUGUGGGUGCGCAGG
rnacentral:lncRNA from 1 species